rnacentral:rRNA from 1 species
UACGGAGGAGGCUAGCGUUGUUCGGAAUUACUGGGCGUAAAGCGCACGUAGGCGGCUUUGCAAGUCAGAGGUGAAAGCCCGGGGCUCAACCCCGGAAUUGCCUUUGAGACUGCAUCGCUAGAAUUGUGGAGAGGUAAGUGGAAUUCCGAGUGUAGAGGUGAAAUUCGUAGAUAUUCGGAAGAACACCAGUGGCGAAGGCGACUUACUGGACACAUAUUGACGCUGAGGUGCGAAAGCGUGGGGAGCAAACAGG